rnacentral:lncRNA from 1 species
CGUCGCUCCCGGCGCAGCCGGACUGAGAAGGACGCAGCAGCUCAAGCGCCCUGCGAGCUCAGCGCUUUUUCUGCGAGUCUUGCAAAGUGUCGCAGUUCGCCAUGAGUGCGCCCCUCAAAGCCUGGCGGGCAGUGGGUGGGGGUUGCUCUGUCGGCGACCCCCACCCCCACACUCUUCUCAUUGGAGAAUGAUCUGGGUCUCCGGAUGGAGGAACAAAGUACAGUGGUACCUCGGGUUAAGUACUUAAUUCGUUCCGGAGGUCUGUUCUUAACCUGAAACUGUUCUUAACCUGAAGCACCACUUUAGCUAAUGGGGCCUCCUGCUGCCACCGCACCGCCGGAGCACGAUUUCUGUUCUCAUCCUGAAGCAAAGUUCUUAACCUGAGGUACUAUUUCUGGGUUAGCGGAGUCUGUAACCUGAAGCGUAUGUAACCCGAGGUAUGCCGUUUACCUUCCCGCCGGAGCGGUACCUAUUUCUCUACUUGCACUUUGACGUGCUUUCGAACUGCUAGGUUGGCAGGAGCAGGGACCGAGCAACGGGAGCUCACCCCGUCGUGGGGAUUCGAACCGCCGACCUUCUGAUCAGCAAGUACUAGGCUCUGUGGUUUAAGCCACAGCGCCACCCGCGUCUAAACCCCCACUAAAUACAAUUUCUGUAAGAAUACAGGAAGCCACACUGAAAACAGUGUGAAAAUGGCAUUGGACUCCAAUCCGCCCAGGGGUGAAACUAGGCUUUAUUUCACCAGAGUCAAAAGACCCAGUUUGGCACACACCCCAUGCGCAUUUGCGUACACACACAGAGAGGCUGGGAGCCUCUGUGAUGCCCCUCUGGAGGCUUCACCUGGAGCAAAACCCUCAGUCAGCCCCCACCCCAGGGCCGGAUUUAGGUUUGAUGAUGCCCUAAGCUACUGGAGGUAAUGGGGCCCUUUAUAUGUCCAGCUCUCCUUUGUCAACAACAAAUUGUCACUGUUUUUUGUGUUGAAUAUAUGCUAUAUGGUAAUUUAUGGACCUAAUAGGUAUCUAAACCCAUUAACACAUAACAAAAUAUGUAUUUUUUCAAAGUAAUUGUUGAACUGAAAUACAAUUAAGAAGAAGUAUAUUAUUUUAGGACAAGACUUACCAAGGAAAACAAAGAAUUUAUUCAUGUAUGCUACAACAGCGGCAAGAGUCUUGUUAGCACAAGGAUGGAAGGAUGAGGAAGUCCCAAGGAAAGAACAAUGGCAAGAAAGACUGAUGAGUUGUGCGGAAUUGGCAAAGUUAACAUAUAAUCUACAAGAGAAGAACAACCGUGACUUUAAGGAAGAAUAGGAACUUUUUACAAACUAUUGAAAAAGACAACAAAAGGACUUGGAUUCCUUUGCAGGUUUUGAAUAGACAUCCACAAAUUUAUUAGUAGAACAUAGGAUAGAUAAGGUAAUGAUAUGUAUAACUUUUUAACGUGCAGAGAAUAAUAUGUGCAAACAAAUCAGAGAGGGGAGCUGAGGGAAGUCUCUGGAGGUUGGGAGAGGGAGGGAUGGGAGGGAGGGGAUAAAAAAGGGGGGAAAUGUAAUUGGUUAUAUUGAUUGAUAAUUUGUUUGUUAAAAUUGUUCAAUAAAAAUAUUUUUUUAAAAAAAGUAUUUUAAUAGUGAAAUAAUUAUUAAGCUCUAACUUAAAAUGAUUUUUUUAUUCAUAACAAACUUAAUAAUGCAAACACAUUGGCAUUUGGCAACAACAAAAGUUCCUUUAGAAACACAAUUUACAAAGACUCAUAUGGGGGGGGCAAGAGAGUGGGGCCCUAAGCUAUAACUUGUUUAGCUUAUAUGUAAAUCUGGCACUGUCUCACCCCCAAGCUACGGCUCUGACUCCGCCUAUCCAGAAUUGGCAAAGAUUACUCUAAUUCAUGGGUAGGCAAACCAAGGCCCAGGGGCCGAAUCCGGCCCAAUCGCCUUCUAAAUCCAGCCUGCGGACGGUCCGGGAAUCAGCGCG